rnacentral:rRNA from 1 species
UACGGGAGGCAGCAGUGGGGAAUAUUGCACAAUGGGCGAAAGCCUGAUGCAGCUAUGUCGCGUGUAUGAAGAAGGCCUUAGGGUUGUAAAGUACUUUCAUCGGGGAGGAAAAAACAAAACUAAUAAUUUUAUUUCUUGACGUUACCCGAAAAAGAAGCACCGGCUAACUCCGUGCCAGCAGCCGCGGUAAUACGGAGGGUGCUAGCGUUAAUCAGAAUUACUGGGCGUAAAGAGCACGUAGGUGGUUUUUUUAAGUCAGAUGUGAAAUCCCUGGGCUUAACCUAGGAACUGCAUUUUGAAACUGAAAUACUAGAGUAUCGUAGAGGGAGGUAGAAUUCUAGGUGUAGCGGUGAAAUGCGUAGAUAUCUGGAGGAAUACCUGUGGCGAAAGCGGCCUCCUAAACGAAUACUGACACUGAGGUGCGAAAGCGUGGGGAGCAAACAGGGAUUAGAUACCCGU